ensembl:miRNA
CAUGUAGCGGGUCCUCAGUAAGUAUUUGUUGAAAGAAUAAAUAAACUGACAAGUCUUAUUUGAGCACCUGUUAUGUG